GCCCUCAUGGUCAAGCGGUUAAGACGCCGCCCUCUCACGGCGGAAUCAGGAGUUCGGACGCCCUUGACUUUUCUUACCUUGACGGGCA
rnacentral:tRNA from 1 species